rnacentral:rRNA from 1 species
AAAUUGAAGAGUUUGAUCAUGGCUCAGAUUGAACGCUGGCGGCAGGCCUAACACAUGCAAGUCGAACGGUAACAGAAAGAAGCUUGCUUCUUUGCUGACGAGUGGCGGACGGGUGAGUAAUGUCUGGGAAACUGCCUG